rnacentral:lncRNA from 1 species
GGGCUUUUUUGUUUUUUGAGACAGGAUUUUGCUUUGUAGUUCAAGCUGGCCUUGAACUCACUACAUAGCCUAGGGAGGCCUUGAACUUGUGGCAAUCCUCCUGCCUCAGACUCCCAAGCGCUGAGAUUACAGGUGCCCAGCUCAAAAGUAUUGAGUUGAAUAAACAACUUGUAGAAAUACCAAGGUUGGUGGAAAGAACACAGGCUUUGGGAAUCUAAGCAGAAUGUAACUGAUAAUUGCUUAUUAUUACUACUAUUAUUGUUGACCCUUUUAACCAAUUAAUCUAGAUAUGACUCAGAUACACAUAAGUCAUCCUAUCUACUAGAAGGGUGUGGAGAGCCAACAGCUCUAUAAGCAUUAAGGUGAACAACUUGGAUUUCCUAUGAAAGGGUUAAGCGAAAUAUUGUAGAACUUGCUGCCCAGCUCUGAAGAAGUUAGGCGUAGGAGAAAGUGAUAAGAACAGCACAAGGACACGGAGAGCUAGGGAAAAGAAAACACAGGACUGUCUCAAGGCCUGGGAACUUUUCAGAUGUGCCUUAUGUAAGAUGUUUUUUAUUCUUGAGGGCUAUAAAAGAGAGCAGUAAAGCCAAUAAAGCAGCUCGGAUGCUGGGAGCUCCCCCGACUCUGUCUCUUUGUCUUUCUUUUUCUUCAUCCUCACUUCCCCAUUCAGGUGUUGUUCGAGAAGUGACUGGCGGGCUCUGUCAUGGGUGGUGCCCGAACAGGGACCUGAAUACGGGGGAUCAGAAGUGAAGAACGCUGCGGUUUUGUGGGCCCGCAGGAGGAUGCUGAAGGUGCCAGGUGGCUGCCUGAAAGAUUGGUCCGUUUUGCAGAAAAUUCUCCUGCCCCUCAGGAGGAUCCCGACAACUGUCCCGCUGAUAAAUCCAAUGAUGACGCUUAAUGGGAAAGUUUAUUGGACUUAUGUACCUGAUCCACCUGUUGUACAUCCAACAAGCUGAAAAAAUGGAGAUGAGCCGGCGGCACCUGACAAAAACGAGGUCUGAUUGUUCAACUAUACAGGAUAGUGCCUCAAGCUUUUAAUGCUCCAAUAAGACUGUUCCAUGGAAGAGAUGUGUGGCGGAUGCACCUGUGAGAUAUAAUAUUACUGGAUUUGAUGUGUUUUGGACUGGUCUGAAAAUUCUUGUCAUCCCCCGGGGAAAAAAAAAUGUCACUGCAUAUGUCAUGCGUUCUUAGGUAUUGCUUGUAGGAAAUAUUAAUGUUUAGAAAGAUUAUGAUUAUUAUAAUGUAAUUUACUUCAAUUGUCAAAUAAGCAAUUGUGUCACCUGAACAGAAAAUCAGAUAACGGUUUUGUGAAUGUGUUCUUAGAUUUGGAUAUUAAAAUGCAAAACUCCUAAAAUUUGAUGCAGCCCAGGUUGCACAGGAUUUUAUCGAACAAAUUAGAAAAGUUCUGCCAUCUACAUCUGCAUUUAGGUGGUAAUUCCUUUCCAUAGUAAUCAUUGGAGGAGGGUUACUUCUUGGAUGCAUGAUCCUUCCGGUGCUACUGCGGGUGUUUGUGCAUUCUUUAAUGAGGAUGGCUGGAAGUAUCCAUGGUCUACAAUUACAUGCUGUGCCGCCUAGGCCCAUGGUGUAAUCCCCUGCAGAGGCUGGUAGUCAAUGAUGGGUAAGAGGAGUACAGGAAAUCACCAACCUAAGACAGAGCAAGAGUACUGUGACACUCUUGACUCCAUGACGGGUAAGGGAUUUCUUUGUGUUCCCCGCCUAAGACAGGCACAGUCUAUCUGCGUGAUCAAGGGACCUUGAUCAUAAUAUAUAAAACAGGGGGAGAUGUGGAGAGCCAACAGCUCUAUAAGCAUUAAGGUGGACAACUUGGAUUUCCUAUGAAAGGGUUAAGUGAAACAUUGUAGAACUUGCUGCCCAGCUCUAAAGAAGUUAGGUGUAGGAGAAAGUGAUAAGAACAGCACAAGGACACGGAGCUAGGAAAAAGAAAACACAGGACUGUCUCAAGGCCUGGGAACUUUUCAGAUGUGCCUUAUGUAAGAUGUUUUUUAUUCUUGAGUGCUAUAAAAGAGAGCAGUAAAGCCAAUAAAGCAGCUCGGAUGCUGGGAGCUCCCCCGACUCUGUCUCUUUGUCUUUCUUUUUCUUCAUCCUCACUCCCCAUUCAGGUGUUGUUCAACAAGUGACGGCGGGCUCCGUCAGAAGGGAACACUACUUUCAAUGGUUGGUGAGCGUCCAGGUAAACAAGAUCUCAUGUGCACACCUAGGCUAAGCUUUUCGAAGGCCCACAAGACUUAAUCAGCUUUUUCCUUUUUGCAAUGGGAAUUUGCCUAGAUGCCCAGGCCGGUCUUAAACCUGUAUAAUCAAGUCAUCCCCUCAUCUCAGCCUCCAGAGUAGGUGGGACAAGAGAGGCCCACACCACCAGGCUGGCUAAAUUUAUUAUCUAGAAUCUUGAGUAAAGCCACCUACAUUUCAUUGUUACAGUGGGCAAAUUUCACUAAACAUAUAAAUAACCCGUCAUGUUUUCAGUUUCUCAGGUUCCUUGAUCUCAAACUCAGUGACCUCCAGAACCACUGCUUUGUUCAUUUUAAAAUCCCCUACUCUGACCACACCCACUCCCAUUACACUUGUUUUUCAGUUCCAUCAAGAUUUGUUCCUAUUUAUUUAGUACUGGGGAUUGAACUCUGGUCCUUGCGAACCACUGGGCUAAAUCCCCAGCCCUAUUUAUUUAUUUGUUU